UUGGAUUAAUCCUUCAUAGUCUAUUUGAGUGGCAUCAUUUAAAUAGUAAAGGUUACGGUACAAGAUGAGCAUGCGUCCUAUUAGCUAGUAGGUGUGGUAACGGCACACCUAGGCAACGAUAGGUAGGGGUCCUGAGAGGGAGAUCCCCCACACUGGUACUGAGACACGGACCAGACUCCUACGGGAGGCAGCAGUGAGGAAUAUUGGACAAUGGGCGAAAGCCUGAUCCAGCCAUGCCGCGUGCAGGAAGACGGCCCUAUGGGUUGUAAACUGCUUUUAUAUGGGAAGAAUAAGGUCUACGUGUAGACUGAUGACGGUACCAUAAGAAUAAGCACCGGCUAACUCCGUGCCAGCAGCCGCGGUAAUACGGAGGGUGCAAGCGUUAUCCGGAAUCAUUGGGUUUAAAGGGUCCGUAGGUGGACUAAUAAGUCAGUGGUGAAAGUCUGCAGCUCAACUGUAGAAUUGCCAUUGAUACUGUUAGUCUUGAAUUG
rnacentral:rRNA from 1 species